rnacentral:rRNA from 2 species
UUCGCAAUGCCCGAAAGGGUGACGAAGCGACGCCGCGUGGGUGAGGAAGGCCUUCGGGUUGUAAAGCCCUGUCAGGAGUUAAGAAAUGUAAGUGCGCUAAUAUCGCAUUUAUUUGACAAAGGCUCCAAAGGAAGCCACGGCUAACUCUGUGCCAGCAGCCGCGGUAAUACAGAGGUGGCAAGCGUUGUUCGGAAUUAUUGGGCGUAAAGAGCACGUAGGUGGGUUUGUAAGUCAGAUGUGAAAGCCUUCUGUUCAACGGAAGAAUUGCAUCUGAAACUACAAGUCUUGAGUAUAGGAGGGGAGAAUGGAACUUCUGGUGGAGCGGUGAAAUGCGUAGAUGUCAGAAGGAACGCCGGCGGCGAAAGCGAUUCUCUGGCCUAUUACUGACACUCAGUGUGCGAAAGCUAGGGGAGCAAACGGGAUUAGAUACCCCGGUAGUCCUAGCCGUAAACGAUGGGCACUAAGUAGAGGGGUUUU